CUCGAGGGGAGGAGGACGGGACACAACACGGGAAAGGAUUGUUUGGUUCUAGGUUCAAUCUUGAUUACAAUACGAUGCACCAAAUUCAUUGCUACAUCCUAGGAAAUAUAGAUGAAAUCAGUCCGUUGCGAAGGUUUUUUCACAUCAAUUUAACAAUACUUGUAUGCGUAUCCGACCUGUGUUGAAUAUCUUCGACUUUUAUUUUUGCACUGUAGGAUUCACCUUGAUACUAUUAGGUCAUGUCGAACUCGCGCACCCCCACGUGAGGUGCACCAGCAGCACAACGAACAAUUUGCGUCUUGGUUUCAAUCAUAUGUGAGUACCGCCUACAUCGUCCGUACGUGGUAUCUUGACUACACUCCCAAAAAACAUUGAAAUCACGAGUGUUCAUGAACUACUUUACAUCAAAUGUAGGUAGAUGAUCCGACGAAUAAUGAUGAGUGCCCAAUCUCAGCGGAGAUCCGUGCAUUGGCGGGUGGACCAUUAUGCAAUGCAACACGGUACUCUUCGUGCAUUGUGUCAGGAAUACGCUAUCGUGUUCAAGACCGGGAUGCAAGGAAGAGGACACAGUGUGCAGGUGUUAUGGUUACGGCAGAUACAGUGAGUUAUGCCUCAGCUAGGGACCAUAACCCACGAGAAGGUUCCGUGGCAUAUUACGGGAUUCUUACGGACAUUGUGGAAGUGUACUAUAGCAAUCAACAGAAGUAUCUCCUUUUAAAAUGUGACUGGGUGGAUCUGGAGAGGGGCGUUAAAGAGGAUGAGUUCAAAUAUAAAUGUGUGAACUUUAAGUAUUUGAUGUACCCCAAGAACUUGCCCACGGAUGAGCCUUUCAUCUUAGCGACCCAAGCCUCUCAGGUGUGGUACAUUGCAGACCCGGUUGAUGAAGGUUGGAGCGUUGUCGUUCCGGUGUCACGGCGAGACACGUAUGACGUGUAUAGUACGAUCGAUCAUAGAUUCAGCACAGGGUUACCUUUAGAUGACGGAGGCAAUGUUAGAGGAGCAGCCGAUUACUGGCUAAGGGAAGGUAUUGAGGGGCAAGUAGUAGAAGAUGCAGGGCAGAUGGACCAUGCCGAUACUUCGCCUUCGGAUUCGGAGGAAUCCUCCGAAGAUGAUGGUGCUUAGCGCAGAAUCAAAUAAGCGGGCAUUUUUGGUAGUAUGCGAAUAUAGCCUAAUUGGCCCAUUUUUGAUGGUUUGGCAACCACGCAACCUUUUUGAGUUCGCAGUUCAGAAUAAAUUACACAUCUCAACAGAUGGUCAUCUAUGUGGGGAGGGGGGGUCGGUGAUUGAAGUACGUAAUAGGAUGUUAUGAUUUUUUCCGAAUAUGUCAACGCGGAUAAGCUCUUUA